GGAGAACAGGCCAUCAGCGAGUAACCUGAGCCACCACCGAACCCACAGGCGGCUGCGGAGCCGCGGGAGAAGCCAAGGAAAGCGAGGAGAGAAAUGCAGGACCCUCCAUAAUGUGCCUCGGCUCAUCCCGGUGGUUGCCACAGAGCCCUGCCAGGAAAACCUGCAGUGGGAAGCAUCCAGCAGCCCUGCUGGAGCUCAGUAAGGAAUGAGAUGCUGCUCCCAAUCCCCCUGGAUCACCGGGAAGGAGCUGAUUUCUGUCAGGUUACUCCAGUAUGUCUGUGGAGCUCCUGAUGCCUGUUCCUAGCUGGAUGCAGCUCCCAAGCCACCUCCUCUGAGGGAAUGUGGAGGUGUAGAUGCUGCUGUGGGGUUCUUGAUGAGCCU